rnacentral:rRNA from 1 species
GUAGGUUGGCAAGGCGUUGUCCGGAAUUAUUGGGGCGUUAAAGCGCGCGCAGGCGGGGUUUUUAAGUCUGAUGUGAAAGCCCACGGGCUCAACCGUGAGGGUCAUUGGAAACUGGAGAACUUGAGUACAGAAGAGGAAAGCGGAAUUCCACGUGUAGCGGUGAAAUGCGUAGAGAUGUGGAGGAACACCAGUGGCGAAGGCGGCUUUCUGGUCUGUAACUGACGCUGAGGCGCGAAAGCGUGGGGAGCAAACAGGAUUAGAUACCCUGGUAGUCCACGCCGUAAACGAUGAGUGCUAAGUGGUUAGGGGGUUUCCGGCCCCUUAGUGCUGCAGCUAACGCAUUAAGCACUCCGCCUGGGGAGUACGGCCGCAAAGGCUG